UCUCGAUAGUGUAAAAGUUAACUCAAAUUUGUAUGGAGUUGAAACGGCUUCCUUUCGUUUACCGCUAGGGACGCUGUUCCAACUCCAUACAAAUUUGAGUUAAUAUUUAUGAUAUAGA
rnacentral:pre_miRNA from 9 species